GAAAUGGUACAACCAACCAGACCCGAAUAAUGAUACAUUCAAUGGUGAGGAUGCACAAAUGGUAAUAAUUUAACUUAAAGAGAACAUCAUGAUCAUCAACCAUCCAACCAAAGAUCAACGCCCACCGAUUCAACACGAAAGGAACAACCCGGGAAAGUAGAAUGAAGAAAAACAGAAUGAAAAGAACAUACACAGAAGAAGAUCGAAGAGAAAUUCAAUGAUACAGAUUUUUUUUUUGUUUAUUUUUGUGAUUUCUGGGUCUAGUAGUCAGUGGUUGGGAGCUGCUCGUGGGUGUGGCUGAUGAAGACGACCUCGUAGAUAAGCCCAGCAAGACCACCACCGAUGAGAGGGCCAACCCAGUAGAUCCAGUUGUUGGUCCAGGUCCAGCUAACAACGGCGGGCCCGAAUGUGACUGCAGGGUUCAUGGCUGCUCCGGAGAAGGCCCCACCCAACAAAAUGUUAGCGCCAACGAUGAAACCAAUGGCGAUGGGUGCGAUGGUUCCCAAACUACCUCUCUUGGGGUCAAUGGCGGUAGCGUAGACAGUGUAAACCAAACCGAAGGUCAUCACGAUCUCCAACACCAAAGCGUUACCCACUCCAACUCCAGCUGAGAGUCCAAAUGCGGGAACAGUCUGUCAAGCACAGGAACAAAACUCUUAUUAGUUCACAAACACCACAAAUUAAAAGUUAGUUACGUGAAGUAACGGUAAUAACGGUCUUACGGAGGAGGUCACGAAGGCCAGGAGGAGGGAGGCCACCACGGAGCCAAGGAGCUGGGCGAUGAUGUAGACGACACCGCGGAGAAAGGUGAUGUUGCCUCCGAUGAAGGCGCCGAAGGUGACGGCGGGGUUCACGUGACCUCCGGAGAUGUUGGCGCCGACGGAGACGGCGACAAAAAGGCCGAAUGCGUGGGCGAUGGAGGCGGAGAUGAGACCGGCAGGUGUGGCGGCGCCGUUGUCGGUAAGCUUGUUGAAGGCGAUGCCGGAACCCGAGCCGGCGAACACGAAGAUGAGGGUGGAGAUGAACUCAGCCAGACCCGCCUUCAAUGUGUCGGGGUUAGUGGCCUCCUCGGGCCUUCCGAUGGCGAUGUUUCUGAUCGGCAUCUUCAAUCAACGGCGGUGAUGAUUACGACUGGUGAAAGAUCAGGUGAAUACCGAUCACUCACUUAAAUCACUCUCU
rnacentral:lncRNA from 1 species